UACAGAGGUCCCGAGCGUUGUUCGGAUUCACUGGGCGUAAAGGGUGUGUAGGUGGCGAGGUAAGUCGGAUGUGAAAGCUCGGAGCUCAACUCCGAAAUGGCAUUGGAAACUACCUUGCUCGAGGGUUGGAGGGGGGACUGGAAUUCUCGGUGUAGCAGUGAAAUGCGUAGAUAUCGAGAGGAACACCAGUGGCGAAGGCGAGUCCCUGGACAACUCCUGACACUGAGGCACGAAAGCUAGGGGAGCAAACAGG
rnacentral:rRNA from 1 species